CCACCUUUAACUCAGUAGGUUAGAGUUCCGAGCUUAUAUCUCGGCGGUCACAGGUUCGAGUCCUGUAAGGUGGACCA
rnacentral:tRNA from 1 species